AUACGGAAGGUCCGGGCGUUAUCCGGAUUUAUUGGGUUUAAAGGGAGCGCAGGCGGAGAUGCAAGCGUGACGUCAAAUUUCGGGGCUCAACCCCGUCUCGCGUCGCGAACUGCGUCCCUUGGUUGCGGGAAGGGGAGGCGGAACUCGUGGUGUAGCGGGGAAAUGCAUAGAUAUCACGAAGAACUCCGAUCGCGAAGGCAGCCUUCCGGCCCGUCAACGACGCUCAUGCUCGAAGGUGCGGGUAUCAAACAGGAUUAGAUACCCUGGUAGUCCGCACAGUAAACGAUGGACACCCGCGGUUUGGCCUAUAUGGCUGAGCCGCCAAGCGAAAGCGUUAAGUGUCCCACCUGGGGAGUACGGCCGCAAGGUUGAAACUCAAAUGAAUUGGCGG
rnacentral:rRNA from 1 species